rnacentral:rRNA from 1 species
AGAGUUUGAUCAUGGCUCAGGAUGAACGCUGGCGGCGUGCUUAACACAUGCAAGUCGAACGAAGCGCGGAUGCGGAAUUUUUUCGGAAAGGAAGCGUCCGCGACUGAGUGGCGGACGGGUGAGUAACGCGUGGGCAACCUGCCCCAUACCGGGGGACAACAGCUGGAAACGGCUGCUAAUACCGCAUACGUUUUCGGCGCCGCAUGGUGCCGGAAAGAAAACUCCGGUGGUAUGGGAUGGGCCCGCGUCUGAUUAGCUUGUUGGGAGGGUAACGGCCUACCAAGGCGACGAUCAGUAGCCGGCCUGAGAGGGCGGCCGGCCACAUUGGGACUGAGACACGGCCCAGACUCCUGCGGGAGGCAGCAGUGGGGAAUAUUGCACAAUGGGGGAAACCCUGAUGCAGCGACGCCGCGUGAGCGAAGAAGCGCUUCGGCGCGUAAAGCUCUAUCAGCAGGGAAGAAAGCGACAGUACCUGACUAAGAAGCCCCGGCUAACUACGUGCCAGCCGCCGCGGUAAUUC